UUCUUCUUGAAGGUGCGGGACCACAGCUUCAACUUCAGCCUCAACUUAGAGGCAUGCGAAAAGCCUCGAACUUACGUGAGAGGCGCUUUUAUUAGAUCAAAACCAAUCGGCUUCGGCUGUACUCUUGGUGACUCUGAAUAACUUUGGGCUGAUCGUAUAGCCUUGCGCUGACGACAUAUCCUUCGAAGGUGUGCCCUAUCAACUGUCGACUGUGGCAUAGACGCCCACAGUGGUUUUGACGGGUAACGGGGAAUCAGGGUUCGAUUCCGGAGAGGGAGCCUUAAAAACGGCUACCACAUCUAAGGAAGGCAGCAGGCACGCAAAUUACCCAAUGAUCGAAGAUCGAGGUAGUGACGAAAAAUAACGAUCCAGGACUCAUCCGAGGCCCUGGAAUCGGAAUGAGUACACUUUAAAACCGUCCCCGAGGAUCUAUUGGAGGGCAAGUCUGGUGCCAGCAGCCGCGGUAAUUCCAGCUCCAAUAGCGUAUAUUAAAGUUGUUGUGGUUAAAAAGCUCGUAGUUGGAUCUCGGCGGACUGAGGGCGGUUUGCUUGCUAGUAUUACUGCCCUAUAGUCCGUAGUUUUGCCAGAGGUUUCGAGGUGCUCUUAAUCGAGUGUCCCGGGAUGCUGGCAGGUUUACUUUGAAAAAUUAGAGUGCUCAAAGCAGGCUAUUACGCCUGAAUAUUCGUGCAUGGAAUAAUAGAAUAGGAAGUCGUUUCUAUUUUGUUGGUUUUCGGAAAUCGACUUAAUGAUUAAUAGGGACAGUCGGGGGCAUUUGUAUUCAAACGACAGAGGUGAAAUUCUUGGACCGUUUGAAGACAAACUACUGCGAAAGCAUUUGCCAAGAAUGUUUUCAUUAAUCAAGAACGAAAGUUAAAGGUUCGAAGGCGAUUAGAUACCGCCCUAGUUUUAACCAUAAACGAUGCCAGCUAGCGAUCUGCGGACGUUUUUUUUUGUAGACUCCGCAGGAAGCUUCCGGGAAACCAAAGCAUUUGGGUUCCAGGGGAAGUAUGGUUGCAAAGCUGAAACUUAAAGGAAUUGACGGAAGGGCACCACCAGGAGUGGAGCCUGUGGCUUAAUUUGACCCAACACGGGAAAUCUCACCAGGCCCGGACACUGGAAGGAUUGACAGAUUGAUAGCUCUUUCUUGAUUCGGUGGGUGGUGGUGCAUGGCCGUUCUUAGUUGGUGGAGUGAUUUGUCUGGUUAAUUCCGAUAACGAACGAGACUCUGUCCUGCUAAAUAGUGUCUGCUUCUCUUUUGAGCAGACAAUUCUUCUUAGAGGGACUGGCGACUCUUAGUCGCACGAGAUUGAGCAAUAACAGGUCUGUGAUGCCCUUAGAUGUUCU
rnacentral:rRNA from 1 species